CUAUGUUUCUAUGUGACAGACUGACUUUCCCUCACAUUGGGAAACUUUGAUUCUGCUGUGUGGGGAUGUUUUUAUGUUGAAUUCUAUCGUGUUGUGUUCUUUAUUUUUAUUGUAUGGCUGUAUGGUUAUCUCAUUUC